ACGUAGGAUGCAAGCGUUAUCCGGAAUUAUUGGGCGUAAAGCGUUCGUAGGCGGUUUGUUAAGUUGGAUGUCAAAGCCCAGAGCUCAACUCUGGUCAGGUAUCCAAAACUGGCGAACUUGAGACAGGUAGAGGCAAGUGGAAUUCUGUAUGUAGGGGUAAUAUCCGUAGAUAUACAGAGGAACACCAAAAGCGAAGGCAGCUUGCUGGACCUGUUCUGACGCUCAAGAACGAAAGCGUGGGGAGCAAACGGGAUUAGAUACCCCGGUAGUCCACGCCCUAAACGAUGAACACUAGGUGUUGGAGGUCUCGACCCCUCCAGUGCCGACGCUAACGCAUUAAGUGUUCCGCCUGGGUAGUACGGUCGCAAGAUUA
rnacentral:rRNA from 1 species